AAUCAACGCUGGCGGCGUGCCUAACACAUGCAAGUCGAACGCGGUCACCCCGCAAGGGGUGACUGAGUGGCGAACGGGUGAGUAACACGUGGGUGACCUGCCUUCGAGUGGGGGAUAACAUCCCGAAAGGGGUGCUAAUACCGCAUGACAUCCUGCCUUUAAAGAGGUGGAGAUUAAAGCUGGGGAUCGUAAGACCUGGCGCUUGAAGAGGGGCCCGCGUCCGAUUAGCUAGUUGGUGGGGAACGGCCUACCAAGGCGACGAUCGGUAGCCGGCCUGAGAGGGCGACGGCCACACUGGGACUGAGACACGGCCCAGACUCCUACGGGAGGCAGCAGUGGGGAAUUGUUCGCAAUGGGACGAAAGCCUGACGACGCAACGCCGCGUGGAGGACGAAGAUUUCGGAUCGUAAACUCC
rnacentral:rRNA from 1 species